rnacentral:lncRNA from 1 species
GGCGGCCAGCGCGCCUGCGCCCCAAAGCUAGGCCCGGCCCCAAGCGCGAGGAGCGGGGCGGGGCGAGCGCGCGUGCUCCCGGAUCCUCGGCAGUGUCCGGCGCCCCCUUCCCUUCGCCAGGCCCGUUUGGCGCCUUCACUCGGGAAGACGUCGGCCAGGACUUUGCGCUUUGGAGACGUCUUACUUCGGCAGCACUCGCACACUGCGAGAUCCGACACGGGCAGCGGGGACCUAGGGAGCCGGGGACGCUGCCUGUCGGGUACGGUUCCGCAGCUACCGCAGCCCCGUGGGCCAUGGUUAGUCUCCCCCCGACACCGCUCCCUCUAGAGCUCCGGGCUUCGGAAGCGGCUGCACGUGGGCAUGGCUGGAGAGGUUCCGCUGGCUUGGGGCAGUCGCCGGGAUUCCGACUGGUUGGUGUGGGGUGUGGCCUGUGCUAUCCAGCUCCCAGCUGAUCCUAAUGUGCGGCACAGCGGAAACCACCGGUCCACAUCAGUGCUUCUCACUUAAAGGGGCUUACGAAUCGUCGGGGGUGGGGGAGCUGGACUUGGAAUUUUUUAAGAGAUGAGGUCUCACUCUGUCACCCAGGCUGGAGUGCAGUGGCGCGAUUACGGCUCACUGCAGACUAGACCUCCUGGGCUCAACUUUAAUGUAAAUUGGGAUUGGGUAGGUCUGUAAGGGGACCCGAGCUCCCCUCCCAUGUUGUUGCCAAGCUCCUGAGCUCGGCCUGGUGGCGGGUGGGGGCCGGGAGGAGAAGGACACGUUAGUAAGGAAGCUGCAGGACGACUCCAGGGGCCUCCCACCUGGUCUCCACCCCCCUCCCCCACCCAUUCUUGACGCUGCAUCCAUGAUUGUUCUAAACAACCUAAAGCAGAAAUCUUAGAGCAAAUAACGAAAACUGGCAGAAGGCCAUUUGAUAUCUCCUUAAAAAAUUCAUGUAAAAAAUUACAUAAACGUUUCAAAGCAGUAUGUAUAAAUUUGAAAUACUGGAAAUGAACGCAGACCAUUAAAGGAAUAGUUAAUUAUUUGAUUCCAUUAUGAAAUACUGUCUAGCCGUCUUAAAAAGGUGUUCAUGAAGCUUUUAGUAUUCAGCAAAACCAAAACAAAUCCCCCUGAAAUAUAGUUUUAACUAUGGAAGAAAAAAAUGUAUAGGAAAAUAACGAAAUAGCCUUUUCGGAGUGAUUUUCUUUUUAACUUCUCGUUUUUAAAUAUUUAAUCAUUUUCUACGAUGGGAAACACCACUUCCUCACACACACUCAUGCUCCCAGACUUUAUUUAGCUACAAACGGCAUCAUAAUACAAAUACUGUUCUGCA